UUAUGGGCAAAGAGUAUAAAGUGGACCAGUUCGGCCAGCGCCCGCACAGUGAGUUCAUUGUUUUCAGGACAGGAGAGAGAUUCUUGGCUGAACUUCAUUGGGCAGGAGAUAAGUUUCUGGUUUUCUGUAAAUAAGAGAGAGAGAAGAAGGGAGAGAAAGAGAGAUGAGAUGAGAGAGAAGCAUUGAUUGGUUGCCUCUUAUAAGCACCUGGACUGGGAAUCAAACCUGCAAGGUGUGAAUAUUCCCUCUUCUCUCACAUCCAUCGAGAUGAGGCAGACCAAGCCAGCGCACUCAUGUUCCCCUGAGACCGAGGCUGGACAUCCACUGAACUCUGCCUUGAACACACAGACACAGUUAUGACCACUCAAUUACUGAGUCGAGGGCGCUGAUGUGCUAUCGCCCCUCCAAAGAAGGCCAUGAGUGACUUGGAGCUGUUAGGUCCCUCGUGUGGAAAGACUCUUGCCUUCCAUCUGGACUCCUGCAGUUUCCCUUUUGCUGAAAUCCUGAAGCCAUUUUGGCUUUAAGCAAAUAUUUGCCAAACACCUUCUACGAUAUGGGGACCAACAGAUGGAGACAUUCUUCCUGUUUUCUCAACAGAAACAUACUCAACGCACAGCUCAGUUUAAAUUAGUAGACAUGUGCAGAGAAUCUGCUAGGUGCCAGAUACUCUUAGAUUUGGGGGGAGUGUAGUUCUAAAAAUGCUUUUAGCUGUGAGUUAAAAAAUCUAACUUAAGGUGGAUUUUAAAAACAAAGUUCAUUACUACGCAUCAGAGGUAGGGCUGUUCCAGGUGCAGUGGGGGCUGCGGCUCCACUUCCCUGAAGUGCACGUGGCCCUUAUAUCCUGCGCAUGUUUUGUCAUUAGGCUACAUGAUCACAGGCUGUUUGCAGUUCUAUGUGUCACAUUUAGGCAUGGUAAGGUCUAAAAUCAGAGAGGGGAAUUUGUUCUUUGUCAUUCGUGUUUUUAUUUUUUUUUAAUUUUACUUAUUUUCAGAGAGGGAGAGGGAGAAAAACAUUGAUGUGUGAGAGAAACAUCAGUUAGUUGCCUCUCGCAGGCCCCCAACCAGGGACCUGGCCCGCAACCCAGGCAUGUGCCCAGCACUCAGUCCACUGAGCCACACCAGCCAGGGCCAUCAUUCAUGUUUUUAGAAGUGAGGAAGCCUUCCCAAAAGCUCUCUAGAGGCCCUCCCCUUCACAUGACCUUGGCCAGAAUUGUGUAAUAUGUCCACAUCCAAAACAGUCGCUGGAAAGGGUAAUGGGAUUAUGUGACUGGUUUGGACAGGUCAAGAUGUAAUGAGGCCAGCCCCUAAAGCACGUGGCCCUGUGGAAAACGGCAGUUUCUGGCUGGAGGGUGGGGAGUGGCAGGGAGCAGGGGGUGGGUUGGAAGUCAGAGCAAGCACCUGGCAGGCAGUGGAGGUGCCCAGGAGAGGACAUGCUGGCAGCUGCUGCUGCUGCUGCUGCUGUGGGUCUUCACCGCCAAUAAUGGCCACCACCACCAAUGGGACUGGACGAGCUCUCCUGAUGUCAGACAGCUGCAGAUUUAUGCUUGAAUGAAUGCAGGCUUGAGAGAGGUGACCAGGUCAGUAAAAGAAGUCUACCUAGGAGCUGGAAAGAAGGGCGUACAUUUCAAUUUUGUAAUUGUUUUUUACAGAUCUUCAAAGACAAGUAAAGGAGAUAGGCUGAAUGAUGUCUGACAGAAAGAGGACUGAUGAUUCAUGACCUGCAGUCACAAAAGUUUCAAAUAGUCCUCAUUUGGACAUAGCCAAAGCUCCUCCAAAUCAGGCACCACCUCCCCCAGGGCACAUGGGACUGCACUGGAUUUUCCUAUUUCUUCUAUUGUGUGUCUUCUAAAUGUUCAUUUGGCUUUUUUUCUGUAAGAUGGUUCCAGUGGCAGUUAGCUGUCUUUAACUUCAUUUGAAAUGAUUUUGUUAGAUUGUAUUCUGACAGCUGUCAUAUCUGUGUGCAUUAAAAAAAACUUAUGAAAAUUGGUGAAUUUCUGUGUAGCCAUUUUAACAUUGAAGAUGGAAGAAAAUAUAUUUUCAGCAUAUUAUGCUUUAUUAUUUUAAAAAAGGUAAAAAUGCAAUUGAAAUGCAAAAAAAAGAUUUGUGCAGUGUAUGGAGAAGGUUCUGUGACUGAUCAAAUGUGUCAUAACUGGUCUGUGAAGUUUCAUGCUGGACAUUUCUCGAUGGAUGAUGCUCCACAGUUGGGUAGACCAGCUGAACUGGUAGUGAUCAAACUGAGACAUUAGUUGACAACAGUCAAUGUUGUACCAUGCAGGAUAUAGCUGACAUACUCAAAAUAUCCAAAUGCAUAAAGUUAUUGGUGAAAAUGAAAAAUGUGUCGUUUACAGACUUUUUGGCCAACACAAUAUUUAUUUUUUCAGUUAUGUCCAAAAAACUUACUAGUUUCCUUCUCUGAUUAUUGCCAUUAAGGCUUUGAAGUCUAAACAAAUUGUAAUCCAUGUAUUUGGUUGUGCUGUGAACAUUAAUAGACGGUCCACAUUACUACAAGCUCUUAAUGUAAAAUAUAAAGUGCUCUUAGCAUUCUGUGUGAGACUGUACUGUUAAACACACAUGUGCAAUUUUUUAAAAUGGUAGACCCCUAAAUAAAAUCAGGAUUCUUUAAGGAGAAGGUAAGGUGUGUGUGUGUGUGGAUGUUGGGCUGGUGUUGGUAAGGCAACCAGCAGAGUUGGAUAUGAGUUUGAUUUGGCACCUUUUCAAAUACGAUUGGUCAUUCCUUAUAUUCCUAUUGCCUGUACGUAUUUUUAAGCUUGUUCUUUAUUUUUCUUCCAGUAUAGUAAGAACCGUGACCAGUAAUUCCAACAUCUGAAGUCUUUCCUCAGGGGAGGAUUGAUGUCUCUUCUGUCUUACCUGCUCUUCCUCAUGGUGCUGUCCCUCAUGUGACAGCUGUCCCUCAUGUGAGCUCAGGUGCUUUGUUUUGUUAUUGUCUAACUUUCAUGAAAAAUGUUCUUUUCUUGAAGUCUAGGAUAAAGGAGAACUCCUCCAGAAAAGAUACACAUUUUCUUCUGCCAAAGCCCUGGGAAAUUACCAGCCCAAUAUUCAAUUGAAUUCAUAAUUUAAUGAAAAUUUGGGGCUGCAAACCCAGCCACCAGAGGGGGACUUCAAAUGUUUUUAAGUAAGGCAUUCGAAAGCACUAGCCCACUCAGGUACGAGGGAGGCGGGUGGAGCACAGGGCCCUUGCUUGCUCCAAACUAAGAGUAGUACUGGUUGAAAUGAACAUCUCUGUAUUUAUUGAAUUUGCAAGAAUUAGGUAGGACAGGAUUUAUGUUUAGGGAGUGACCUUGAAUUAGGAAAGGUACAGAGUGACUUAGAAGUCUGAUCAUGACAGCAAGAUUUAAAGGUAGUUUAAUAUUUAAAGAACUGUAGAAUAGA